rnacentral:sRNA from 1 species
AUGAUAAUGACAAAGAUCAGUACUAACCAAUCAGAAACAAAGUGUGCAUUUUGAUAAAUGGAUCAGAAGUUUGCUUUACCAUGUUUCUUGGUGGAGUUGACACAUUCUGGAUAAACCCUUGUCGCUUGAUCUUGCUUGCCAUCUUUCUGUAGUUGGUAACAAAACGAUCAAGCUCCCACAAAGUCUCAUUAUCUAAAGCUUCAAUAUCCAACUCUAUUUCGUCACCGUCUUGAGGCAAAUCUCUUGUCCUCUUCCUAAGAAUCUGAAUCAACUGUCCAAGCUUCUCAGGAGGCAAUUCUUGUAGAUUCACGCCAAGCUUUCCCUUUUCAUCCAUUGUCAUUUCCCGCUUGUUUGGAUCCUUAGCCUUCGGUUUCGGUAACUUCCCUUUCCUUCCCUUAUUCGUUUCACGCACUUCAAGUGAUGCUUCCACUUGGUUAACCGGCUGGGGAGGUGGUGAUGGUGGUGGUGGUGGCUGAACCGGUGAAGGAGGAGGAGAUGGGUCACGUGUUAUCUCAAUUACUGGAGGAGGAGGCAAUGUAGGUAGUAGCGGCUUCACUGAAUCUAGCUUUUUAGCUAUAGAAAUCUGUUCAGGUCCUUUCCUUGCAUUCUCCGCCACAUUAUUCUGAUUCCACACUCUUUGAUUAUCCUCAGGUCCAGGACGAGACGAUGAUCCCAUAACUUUCACCUCUUGAGCCUCGAAUCUCUUCAAUGUAGGGUUGAACCAAACGUCAAAUUGACUCAGAAGCUUCUCAGCCAUCAAAUAAACAUCUUGACCCUUUGGA